rnacentral:rRNA from 1 species
CCAAUAGCGUAUAUUAAAGUUGUUGCAGUUAAAAAGCUCGUAGUUGAAUUUCGGGAUCAAUAUAUCGGUCGUGCCUUUGGUAUGCACUGGUAUCAUUGAUUUCUACCUUCUGACGAAUCAUGAUGUCAUUAAUUUGGUGUCAUGGGGAAUCAGGACUGUUACUUUGAAAAAAUUAGAGUGUUUAAAGCAGGCACACGCUUGAAUACAUUAGCAUGGAAUAAUGAAAUAGGACGUUUGAUCUUAUUUUGUUGGUUUCUAGGAUCGACGUAAUGAUUAAUAGGGAUAGUUGGGGGCAUUAGUAUUCAAUUGUCAGAGGUGAAAUUCUUGGAUUUAUUGAAGACUAACUACUGCGAAAGCAUUUGCCAAGGAUGUUUUCAUUAAUCAAGAACGAAAGUUAGGGGAUCGAAGACGAUCAGAUACCGUCGUAGUCUUAACCAUAAACUAUGCCGACUAGGGAUCGGAUGAUGUUAAUUUUUUAAUGACUCAUUCGGCGCCUUACG